GGGCCCGUAGCUCAGUUGGUUAGAGCAGCAAACUCAUAAUUUGACGGUCGUUCGUCCGAGUCGAACCGGGCCUA
rnacentral:tRNA from 1 species